rnacentral:rRNA from 1 species
UACGGAGGGAGCUAGCGUUGUUCGGAAUUACUGGGCGUAAAGCGCACGUAGGCGGCUUUUUAAGUCGGGGGUGAAAGCCCGGGGCUCAACCCCGGAACUGCCUUCGAUACUGGGCAUCUAGAGUACGGGAGAGGUGUGUGGAACUCCGAGUGUAGAGGUGAAAUUCGUAGAUAUUCGGAAGAACACCAGUGGCGAAGGCGACACACUGGCCCGUUACUGACGCUGAGGCUCGAAAGCGUGGGGAGCAAACAGG